GACGAACGCUGGCGGCGUGCUUAACACAUGCAAGUCGAACGAAGAGCGAUGGAAGCUUGCUUCUAUCAAUCUUAGUGGCGCACGGGUGAGUAACGCGUAAUCAACCUGCCCUUCAGAGGGGGACAACAGUUGGAAACGACUGCUAAUACCGCAUACGAUCUAAUCUCGGCAUCGAGGAUAGAUGAAAGGUGGCCUCUACAUGUAAGCUAUCACUGAAGGAGGGGAUUGCGUCUGAUUAGCUAGUUGGGGGGGUAACGGCCCACCAAGGCGAUGAUCAGUAGCCGGUCUGAGAGGAGGAACGGCCAAAUUGGGACUGAGACACGGCCCAGACUCCUACGGGGGGCAGCAGUGGGGAAUCUUCCGCAAUGGACGAAAGUCUGACGGAGCAACGCCGCGUGAGCGAUGACGGCCUUCGGGUUGUAAAGCUCUGUUAAUCGGGACGAAAGGCCUUCUUGCGAAUAGUGAGAAGGAUUGACGGUACCGGAAUAGAAAGCCACGGCUAACUACGUG
rnacentral:rRNA from 1 species